rnacentral:rRNA from 1 species
UACGGAGGGUGCGAGCGUUGUCCGGAUUUAUUGGGUUUAAAGGGUGCGUAGGCGGGUCUUUAAGUCAGUGGUGAAAGCCCAUCGCUCAACGAUGGAAUUGCCAUUGAUACUGGAGACCUUGAAUUCAGUUGAGGUAGGCGGAAUUUAUGGUGUAGCGGUGAAAUGCAUAGAUACCAUAAAGAACACCGAUUGCGAAGGCAGCUUACUGGGCUUGAAUUGACGCUGAGGCACGAAAGCGUGGGGAUCGAACAGG